rnacentral:rRNA from 1 species
AGCGAACGUUAGCGGCGCGCCUAACACAUGCAAGUCGCACAAGAAACGGAGCAAUCCGCGGUACAGUGGCGCACGGGUGAGUAACACGUGGAUGACCUUCCCUGGAGUGGUGGAUAACCUGCCGAAAGGCGGGCUAAUACAGCAUGGGACCACGACGCUUUGGCGAUGUGGUGAAAGCGGGCCUCUAUAUAUAAGCUCGCGCUCCGGGACGGGUCCGCGUCCCAUCAGCUAGUUGGUGAGGUAACGGCUCACCAAGGCAACGACGGGUAGCUGGUCUGAGAGGAUGGCCAGCCACACUGGAACUGAGACACGGUCCAGACUCCUACGGGAGGCAGCAGUGGGGAAUCUUGCGCAAUGGGCGAAAGCCUGACGCAGCGACGCCGCGUGGGCGAGAAGGCCUCGGUGUAAGCC